rnacentral:miRNA from 1 species
CUGGGAUCUCGGGGGUCUUGGUU